CGGACGGGUGAGUAACGCGUGGGUAACCUGCCUCACACUGGGGGAUAACAGUUAGAAAUAGCUGCUAAUACCACAUAAGCGCACAGUUCCGCAUGGAACAGUGUGAAAAACUCCGGUGGUGUGAGAUGGACCCGCGUCUGAUUAGCCAGUUGGCGGGGUAACGGCCCACCAAAGCGACGAUCAGUAGCCGGCCUGAGAGGGUGAACGGCCACAUUGGGACUGAGACACGGCCCAA
rnacentral:rRNA from 1 species